rnacentral:tRNA from 1 species
GGUAGCGUGGCCGAGCGGUCUAAGGCGCAGGUUUUAGGCACCAGUCUCGAAAAAAGCGUGGGUUCGAAUCCCACCGCUGCCG